UAGGGAAUUUUCGUCAAUGGGGGCAACCCUGAACGAGCAAUGCCGCGUGAGCGAAGAAGGUCUUCGGAUUGUAAAAGCUCUGUUGCCGGGGAAAAAGGAAGGAAAGAGGAAAUGCUUUUCUUUGGAUGGUACCCGGCCAGAAAGUCACGGCUAACUACGUGCCAGCAGCCGCGUAAUCUCGAUCU
rnacentral:rRNA from 1 species